rnacentral:rRNA from 1 species
CAAACGACUCUCGGCAACGGAUAUCUCAACUCUCGCAUCAAUAAAGAACGUAGCGAAAUACGAUACUUGGUGUGAAUUGCAGAAUCCCAUGAGCCAUCGAGUCUUUGAACGCAAGUUGCACCCGAAGCCAUCAGGCCGAGGGCACCCGUCUUGUGGGGCGGCAGAUGUUGGCCUCCC